rnacentral:rRNA from 1 species
GAUCAUGGCUCAGGAUGAAUGCUAGCUACAGGCUUAACACAUGCAAGUCGAGGGGCAGCAUGACGGAAGCUUGCUUUCGUUGAUGGCGACCGGCGCACGGGUGAGUAACACGUAUCCAACCUGCCCUUGUCCAUCGGAUAACCCGUCGAAAGGCGGACUAACACGAUAUGCAGUUCUCAGCAGGCAUCUAACGAGAACGAAAUGUGAAGGAGAAGGAGUGGGG